GACGAACGCUGGCGGCGUGCCUAAUACAUGCAAGUAGAACGCAGUUGCGAACGGGUGAGUAACGCGUAGGUAACUGCCUCAUAGCGGGGGAUAACUAUUGGAAACGAUAGCUAAUACCGCAUACUGUGAGAUGGACCUGCGUUGUAUUAGCUAGUUGGUGAGGUAAAGGCUCACCAAGGCGACGAUACAUAGCCGACCUGAGAGGGUGAUCGGCCACACUGGGACUUGUACACGGCCCAGACUCCGACGGGAGGCAGCUGUGGGGAAUUUUGGACAAUGGGGGCAACCCUGAUCCAGCCAUGCCGCGUGUAUGAAGAAGGCCUUCGGGUUGUAAAGUACUUUUGUUAGGGAAGCGGUACCUAACGAAUAAGCACCGGCUAACUACGUGCCAGCAGCCGCGGUAAUAC
rnacentral:rRNA from 1 species